AAGCUAAAUUAAAAAAGCACAAAAAUUCUCUAUUUUCCUAAAUAAUCAUGAAAUGUGGUAUGUAUACUAGUUAUAAUUAAAUAGCUAAAUCGGUCAAAAAUUGCAAAUUAAAGUAUUAUAUGUUUUUAUUUUUAAUAGAGAAAUUAAAGUAACAAAAAACCUAAAAUUCUAUAUUUCUAUUUUUUCUAAACAAGCUAAAUUAAAAAAGCACAAAAAUUCUCUAUUUUCUUAAAUAAUCAUGAAAUGUGGUAUGUAUACUAGUUAUAAUUAACUAACUAAAUCGGUCAAAAAUUGCAAAUUAAAGCAUUAUAUGAUUUUAUUUUUUCUAAACUAAUUAAAAUAAAAAACAUAUUACCACUAUUUCUCUAACAAAACGUGUCGCUUUUGAAAUGGCGAUGAAGCUAAUAACCUCUUAAAAAAACCAUAAAAUAAAAAAUAAUAUACAUAACACUAGGAAAUGACAUACGCCGCUUCUAAAUGUUGAGAAGAUGAAGCUAGUGACCUCUUAACAAGUCGAUGACGGUGUAGAAACGAUGAAAUGAAUCAAUAGCCGGAGAUGAGAGCAAGCUAGAACAAGCAACUCCA
rnacentral:lncRNA from 1 species